rnacentral:rRNA from 1 species
GAAUAAGCUACAAAGAGCAUACAGGAGGAUGCCUUGGUACAUGGCGCCGAAGAAGGACGUGACAAGCUGCGAAAAGCUGCGGAGAGUUGCAAAUGAACGUUGACCCGCAGAUAUCCGAAUGAGGAAACUCAUCACGAGUAAUGUCGUGAUAUCGUACACUGAAUCCAUAGGUGUACGAGGGGAACCCGGGGAACUGAACCAUCUAAUUACCCGGAGGAAAAGAAAGUAAACAAACGAUUCCGAAAGUAGUGGCGAGCGAAAUCGGAAGAGCCCAAACCGUAUGUAGUAAUACGUACGGGGUAAAGGACCGCGGAAAGCACGAGACACCUUAGCCGAAGAUAGUUGGAAAGCUACUCGAGACAGCGUUAAAGACGCGUAGGCGAAAGGGUGUUGAGGCAGGCGGUAUCCGGAGUACGUCGGGACACGAGAAAUCCUGACGGAACAUGUGAGGACCAUCUCAUAAGGCUAAAUACGACCAUGUGACCGAUAGAGUAUAGUACCGUGAGGGAACGGUGAAAAGAACCCCGG